rnacentral:rRNA from 1 species
UACGGGGGGAGCAAGCGUUGUUCGGAUUUACUGGGCGUAAAGGGCGCGUAGGCGGCCACCGCAAGUCGACUGUGAAAUCUCCGGGCUUAACCCGGAAAGGUCAGCCGAUACUGCGGGGCUAGAGUGCAGAAGGGGCAACUGGAAUUCUCGGUGUAGCGGUGAAAUGCGUAGAUAUCUGGAGGAACACCGGUGGCGAAGGCGGCAUCCUGGACCAACACUGACACUGAGGAGCGAAAGCCAGGGAAGCAAACGGG